GGGCAAGACCCUGAAUACAGCCUAAACAUGUAGACGCUGACUGAACGAUUUAUUCGGACGCGGGUUCAACUCCCGCCGCCUCCACAA
rnacentral:tmRNA from 1 species